UACGAAGGGGGCUAGCGUUGUUCGGAAUUACUGGGCGUAAAGCGCACGUAGGCGGACAUUUAAGUCAGGGGUGAAAUCCCAGAGCUCAACUCUGGAACUGCCUUUGAUACUGGGUGUCUUGAGUAUGGAAGAGGUGAGUGGAAUUCCGAGUGUAGAGGUGAAAUUCGUAGAUAUUCGGAGGAACACCAGUGGCGAAGGCGGCUCACUGGUCCAUUACUGACGCUGAGGUGCGAAAGCCAGGGGAGCGAACGGG
rnacentral:rRNA from 1 species